GCUUGCUUUGGCAGUGCAUAUACUAAAAUUGGAAUGAUAUGAAGGAGAUUACCAUGGCCCUUGUACAAGAAUGACACACAAAUUUGUGAUGCAUUCCAUAUUUUG